AACAGUAAUAAAAAGAUAAAUGGACUACACCAAAAUUUCUGUUUUUGGCAGGUCUAAACGCCGUCAAGGAGUGCUUUUUCCUAUGUGAAACUGAGAAGAGAUGGAGUUUCUGCCUUGUAAAGGACAAGUCUUUGAGUCUUGGCAAAGGAAGAAGCCAGGGGAACCUUUACUCUGUAGAAGGUGAAUGUUCUUGGCUGUGAUGGAAGUAACCCGGCAGUUUCAUGGGCCUCAUUCUUUCCAUCUCACACAUUGAAAAGACCGCCCAGGACAGCUGCCAAGACAUCCAGGUCCCUGUGGCCUCUGCAAGCAGCACUCAGGACACUUUGUGGAAGCUGCAAAAUGGGGAUCAUUAAAGUAUUUGUCUCUGUGGAUGGAGUUGACUGGAACCAUAUGAAGGAUCACUAAGCAGUAAGAGGACUGGAU
rnacentral:lncRNA from 1 species